rnacentral:tRNA from 1 species
CGGUGCUGUGGGUCAGGGACAACGGCCCCGGCAUCGCCGCCGAGAAGCUGGAGCGGCUGUUCCGGCCGUUCGAGCGGGUCGACAACGCC